rnacentral:rRNA from 1 species
UUAAGCGACUAAGCGUACACGGUGGAUGCCCUGGCAGUCAGAGGCGAUGAAGGACGUGCUAAUCUGCGAUAAGCGUCGGUGAGGUGAUAUGAACCGUUAUAACCGGCGAUUUCCGAAUGGGGAAACCCAGUGUGUUUCGACACACUAUCAUUAACUGAAUCCAUAGGUUAAUGAGGCGAACCGGGGGAACUGAAACAUCUAAGUACCCCGAGGAAAAGAAAUCAACCGAGAUUCCCCCAGUAGCGGCGAGCGAACGGGGAGGAGCCCAGAGCCUGAAUCAGUGUGUGUGUUAGUGGAAGCGUCUGGAAAGGCGUGCGAUACAGGGUGACAGCCCCGUACACAAAAAUGCACAUAUUGUGAGCUCGAUGAGUAGGGCGGGACACGUGGUAUCCUGUCUGAAUAUGGGGGGACCAUCCUCCAAGGCUAAAUACUCCUGACUGACCGAUAGUGAACCAGUACCGUGAGGGAAAGGCGAAAAGAACCCCGGCGAGGGGAGUGAAAAAGAACCUGAAACCGUGUACGUACAAGCAGUGGGAGCCUCUUAAUGGGGUGACUGCGUACCUUUUGUAUAAUGGGUCAGCGACUUAUAUUCUGUAGCAAGGUUAACCGAAUAGGGGAGCCGAAGGGAAACCGAGUCUUAACUGGGCGUUAAGUUGCAGGGUAUAGACCCGAAACCCGGUGAUCUAGCCAUGGGCAGGUUGAAGGUUGGGUAACACUAACUGGAGGACCGAACCGACUAAUGUUGAAAAAUUAGCGGAUGACUUGUGGCUGGGGGUGAAAGGCCAAUCAAACCGGGAGAUAGCUGGUUCUCCCCGAAAGCUAUUUAGGUAGCGCCUCGUGAAUUCAUCUCCGGGGGUAGAGCACUGUUUCGGCAAGGGGGUCAUCCCGACUUACCAACCCGAUGCAAACUGCGAAUACCGGAGAAUGUUAUCACGGGAGACACACGGCGGGUGCUAACGUCCGUCGUGAAGAGGGAAACAACCCAGACCGCCAGCUAAGGUCCCAAAGUCAUGGUUAAGUGGGAAACGAUGUGGGAAGGCCCAGACAGCCAGGAUGUUGGCUUAGAAGCAGCCAUCAUUUAAAGAAAGCGUAAUAGCUCACUGGUCGAGUCGGCCUGCGCGGAAGAUGUAACGGGGCUAAACCAUGCACCGAAGCUGCGGCAGCGACACUAUGUGUUGUUGGGUAGGGGAGCGUUCUGUAAGCCUGUGAAGGUGGCCUGUGAGGGUUGCUGGAGGUAUCAGAAGUGCGAAUGCUGACAUAAGUAACGAUAAAGCGGGUGAAAAGCCCGCUCGCCGGAAGACCAAGGGUUCCUGUCCAACGUUAAUCGGGGCAGGGUGAGUCGACCCCUAAGGCGAGGCCGAAAGGCGUAGUCGAUGGGAAACAGGUUAAUAUUCCUGUACUUGGUGUUACUGCGAAGGGGGGACGGAGAAGGCUAUGUUGGCCGGGCGACGGUUGUCCCGGUUUAAGCGUGUAGGCUGGUUUUCCAGGCAAAUCCGGAAAACCAAGGCUGAGGCGUGAUGACGAGGCACUACGGUGCUGAAGCGACAAAUGCCCUGCUUCCAGGAAAAGCCUCUAAGCAUCAGGUAACAUCAAAUCGUACCCCAAACCGACACAGGUGGUCAGGUAGAGAAUACCAAGGCGCUUGAGAGAACUCGGGUGAAGGAACUAGGCAAAAUGGUGCCGUAACUUCGGGAGAAGGCACGCUGAUAUGUAGGUGAAGCGACUUGCUCGUGGAGCUGAAAUCAGUCGAAGAUACCAGCUGGCUGCAACUGUUUAUUAAAAACACAGCACUGUGCAAACACGAAAGUGGACGUAUACGGUGUGACGCCUGCCCGGUGCCGGAAGGUUAAUUGAUGGGGUUAGCGGUAACGCGAAGCUCUUGAUCGAAGCCCCGGUAAACGGCGGCCGUAACUAUAACGGUCCUAAGGUAGCGAAAUUCCUUGUCGGGUAAGUUCCGACCUGCACGAAUGGCGUAAUGAUGGCUAGGCUGUCUCCACCCGAGACUCAGUGAAAUUGAACUCGCUGUGAAGAUGCAGUGUACCCGCGGCAAGACGGAAAGACCCCGUGAACCUUUACUAUAGCUUGACACUGAACAUUGAGCCUUGAUGUGUAGGAUAGGUGGGAGGCUUUGAAGUGUGGACGCCAGUCUGCAUGGAGCCGACCUUGAAAUACCACCCUUUAAUGUUUGAUGUUCUAACGUUGGCCCGUAAUCCGGGUUGCGGACAGUGUCUGGUGGGUAGUUUGACUGGGGCGGUCUCCUCCUAAAGAGUAACGGAGGAGCACGAAGGUUGGCUAAUCCUGGUCGGACAUCAGGAGGUUAGUGCAAUGGCAUAAGCCAGCUUGACUGCGAGCGUGACGGCGCGAGCAGGUGCGAAAGCAGGUCAUAGUGAUCCGGUGGUUCUGAAUGGAAGGGCCAUCGCUCAACGGAUAAAAGGUACUCCGGGGAUAACAGGCUGAUACCGCCCAAGAGUUCAUAUCGACGGCGGUGUUUGGCACCUCGAUGUCGGCUCAUCACAUCCUGGGGCUGAAGUAGGUCCCAAGGGUAUGGCUGUUCGCCAUUUAAAGUGGUACGCGAGCUGGGUUUAGAACGUCGUGAGACAGUUCGGUCCCUAUCUGCCGUGGGCGCUGGAGAACUGAGGGGGGCUGCUCCUAGUACGAGAGGACCGGAGUGGACGCAUCACUGGUGUUCGGGUUGUCAUGCCAAUGGCACUGCCCGGUAGCUAAAUGCGGAAGAGAUAAGUGCUGAAAGCAUCUAAGCACGAAACUUGCCCCGAGAUGAGUUCUCCCUGACUCCUUGAGAGUCCUGAAGGAACGUUGAAGACGACGACGUUGAUAGGCCGGGUGUGUAAGCGCAGCGAUGCGUUGAGCUAACCGGUACUAAUGAACCGUGAGGCUUAACCUU